rnacentral:lncRNA from 1 species
UUAAAAUGGUGCUCAUUCGGUCAUUACAGAUUUACUGUUUGAAUUUGUUAUUUUAUUUACUUUAGAAUGCUUUUCAUUUUUAGCAAUCAGGAUUCUAGAGUGUCAUAUCUUUAAAAGUCUAGCAUUUUUAUUUCUGCCAGUUCAAGAGGAUGCAGGAAGAAGUUUAACAGAAGAAACCGUCUUCAAAAUAAUAAAACCCCAAAAUUAUUCUCUACAAUAUCCAGUAAGUGCUGAUUUUCUAGAAAACAGUUGGCAGGGGGAGAGAGAGAAGGAACCACCCCUCCCCCCAAACUCAAAGAAAAAAUAACUACUUUGGACAUAUUAUUUCUAAUCCUUUAAAAAACACUCUUCCAGGAGGGUAUUUCUUUCCAUUAGACAGAUGGACAAACUCAAAGGGUUUCGGUGACUUGCCCACAGCCACACGGCUAACAAGAAGCAUGUGUUCUGAUAGCAUUAAUCAGAAAAGCAUAUAUUGCUGACAUGGAUUCCCUGUUUCAUGAGGGCAGGGACCAUCGCUAUCCUAUUCUCCGCUGUAUCCCAAAGCCUACCUCCUGGCACCCCGUAGGCUUUGAUGACUACCUAUAGGGUGGGAGGAUGGGAGGAAGAAAGAAAGGGAGGCGGAACAGGUGUGUGUGCAGCCAGGCGCUCCGUCCACCCUGCCACUCCUCUUCUUUGGAGACAGUGCUCUGACAAUCUGUUCCAUCAACUCCAUUCUCCUGCAACUCUCAUCACACUUUCACAAGCUGCGCAGAUUACGUUUCCUAGGACUGUGUCCAUCCAUCUGCCUCACUGGAUGCUGAUCCACUCUGGUGUGUUUCCCAGUCAGUCACUCAGCAAAGUGCAACCGAGAGCCAACCAUGUGCCCGGUACUUUCCAAGAUGCCAGGAUAAAACGGCAAUAAUAUGGGAUUCCUGUGCUUGAGGUUUUUACAGCCUGAAAAACAAUGACCUCUGCAUUUCCUACUCAGCACCGCGUGCCAUCAACAUCCAAGAAACACCAAAGGAUGGCCGCAAUUGAGGGACUCUUCUCAAUAGCAUGUUCUUGUGCUUCUUCAUUUAGGACACAUCUCCCAUGCUGGGAAGUACAAGACAAAUACGAGGAGUUGGCUUACCAUGCUGUAUGCACCCUUCUUCUUGUGAUGAUGUAAGAUGAUAAAACGCCUACGUGACGAGAAGUGAGGCGGAUGAUGCAGGCAUCGUGACAUAGCACUUGGCUAUUAUUGGCCUCGAGCUCAAGCCCUCUGCUACUUGACAGUUGACCUGAUAACCAAGCCAGGUACUAAGUGACUGAUGGCAGGCGGUGUGUACGGUGUGGCCACACUGGACAAAGCAGGGUUCAUGUCCCGGGUGAGACGGUGCAAGAUUUCAUCAUGCUACUCAGAAUGGCGGGCAAUUUAAAACGUAUGAACUGUUUGUUUCUGGUAUUUUCCAUUUAGUAUUUUCGGACUGUGGUUGACUACGGGAAAUGGAAACCAUGGAAAGUGAAACCGUGGGUGGCGGGG